UUUCUCUAAAUCAGGACCUAUUUUAAACGGCCCCACGAGGGCUAUGCUGUUUCCCCCCUCCAAUCAGUGAAACUGAUCCCCUCGUGAAGAAGCGAGGAUGCCCACAUAAGACGAGAAGACCCCAUGGAACUUUAAACUAGUAUUACCCCCCACCACAUCACACCAACAGGGCAACAUGACUACUAGUCUUUCGGCUGGGGCGGCCACGGGGAAAAACAAAACCCCCGAGAUGAAAGGAUAAACCCCCUAUCCACGAACCACCAUUCUAAGAAUCAACAAAUGACACCACUGACCCAACAAAUGAUCAACGAACCAAGCUACCCUGGGGAUAACAGCGCAAUCCGCCCGAGAGACCUUAUC
rnacentral:rRNA from 1 species